CGGGAAGCCUGCUUCGAGAUGAGGGCUCCCACCCACUUGAUGGGGUAAGGCUCCCAGUAGACGACUGGGUUGAUAGGCCGGAUGUGGAAGCCUCGUGAGGGGUGGAGCUGACCGGUACUAAUAGGCCGAGGGCUUGUCCAU
rnacentral:rRNA from 1 species